rnacentral:lncRNA from 1 species
CCAUGCCAAAUCUGUGAGAUAGUGAUUGAGUGUUGAGGAGACUAUAUUUUGAAGCAUAAUCGCAAGGAGUUCGUCGUUCUACCACAUCUAUUACCUUUUCGAGGGUCGUGCCUCCUAGAUUGGUUAGGUGUCGCUUGGGAGCCUCCUACUUCGUGUUGUGGAGUUGAACCAAGAAGUUUGUACGGGCAAGGAGAUCGCCUACUUUGUGAAGAUCUACCCUGAGUGAGGCUAGUCCUGUGUGGACGUAAGCCGAAUAGACAAGGUCGCUUCUUUGUGGACCCCUUGUGGGUGGAGCCCUCCGUGGACUCUUGUAGCAUUUGCCCUCAAUGGGAUGAAGUCUCCACUAACGUGGACGUAUGAUAGCACCACCUAUCGGAACCAUGCCAAAAAUCACCGUGUCAUCUUUGUGUUUGAUCUUACUAAUCUCUACUCCUUACUUACAUGUGCAAUGUCUUUACUUUCCGCUACCAUAUAUGUUGACUAGCAUGUCUAGGGUGCACUAGACUUGUUAGACUUGCUAGAAUCUGUCAACAAUCUAUAUUGGGAAAAAGCUAGGUUUUAAUUUAUGCAAGUACUCUAUUCACGCCCCCCUC